GACGAACGCUGGCGGCGUGCUUAACACAUGCAAGUCGAACGGUGAAGGGACCAGCUUGCCGGUUCUGGAUGAGUGGCGAACGGGUGAGUAACACGUGAGUAACCUGCCCCCUUCUUCUGGAUAACCGCAUGAAAGUGUGGCUAAUACGGGAUAUUCUGGGUCUGUCGCAUGGCGGGCCCGGGAAAGAUAUUGCUUCGGUGGGGGAUGGGCUCGCGGCCUAUCAGCUUGUUGGUGGGGUGAUGGCCUACCAAGGCGGUGACGGGUAGCCGGCCUGAGAGGGUGGACGGUCACACUGGGACUGAGACACGGCCCAGACUCCUACGGGAGGCAGCAGUGGGGAAUAUUGCACAAUGGGCGCAAGCCUGAUGCAGCGACGCCGCGUGAGGGAUGGAGGCCUUCGGGUUGUAAACCUCUUUCGCCAGUGAAGCAGGCCUGCUCCUUGUGGGUGGGUUGACGGUAGCUGGAUAAGAAGCGCCGGCUAACUACGUG
rnacentral:rRNA from 1 species